AAUGAACGUUGGCGGCGUGGAUUAGGCAUGCAAGUCGCGCGACAAGGAACCUUCGGGUUCUGGAGGAGCGGCAAACGGGGUAGUAAGGCAUCGGAACGUACCCUCUUGUUGGGAAUAGCCGCGGGAAACUGCGAGUAAUGCCCAAUAAUCCCUACGGGGCAAAGGUCCGCCGCAGGAGGAGCGGCCGAUGUGAUACCAGCUAGUUGGUGAGGUAAUGGCUCACCAAGGCUUUAGACGUCUAGGGGGUGUGAGAGCAUGGCCCCCACACUGGGACUGAGAUACUGCCCAGACACCUACGGGUGGCUGCAGUCGAGAAUCUUCGGCAAUGGGCGCAAGCCUGACCGAGCAACG
rnacentral:rRNA from 1 species